rnacentral:rRNA from 1 species
UACAGAGGGUGCAAGCGUUAAUCGGAAUUACUGGGCGUAAAGCGCGCGUAGGUGGUUUGUUAAGUUGGAUGUGAAAGCCCCGGGCUCAACCUGGGAAGUGCACUCGAAACUGCUUCGCUUGAGUACUGGAGAGGGUAGUGGAAUUCUCGGUGUAGAGGUGAAAUUCGUAGAUAUCGAGAGGAACAUCGGUGGCGAAGGCGGCUACCUGGACAGUUACUGACGCUGAGACGCGAAAGCGUGGGGAGCAAACAGG